GCCUGGUUCUGGAAACUCAUUCACAACGGUUGGACCCGCGCGGAGCGAUGGGUCCGGUCCCACGCGAUGUCGUCGGUCCGAACCGGGUCAGGCCGGGAACGGAGCAGCCCUAAGGGCCGCACGGCAGGCGCGAGGUGCCCGGGCCUUUCGAUCUGCGCGGGUUCUCUCCGUGAUGGCCAGGC
rnacentral:SRP_RNA from 1 species